AACGCGAAGAACCUUACCUGGGCUCGAAGCGUAGUGGACCGAGGUAGAAAUAUCUUUUCCCCGCAAGGGGCCGCUACGUAGGUGCUGCAUGGCUGUCGUCAGCUCGUGUCGUGAGAUGUUGGGUUAAGUCCCGCAACGAGCGCAACCCUUAUUGCCAGUUGCCAUCAUUUAGUUGGGCACUCUGGCGAAACCGCCCCGGAUAACGGGGAGGAAGGUGGGGAUGACGUCAAGUCCUCAUGGCCUUUAUGUCCAGGGCUACACACGUGCUACAAUGGCCGGUACAAACCGUCGCAAACCCGCGAGGGGGAGCUAAUCGGAAAAAGCCGGCCUCAGUUCGGAUCGCAGUCUGCAACUCGACUGCGUGAAGCUGGAAUCGCUAGUAAUCGCGGAUCAGAAUGCCGCGGUGAAUACGUUCCCGGGCCUUGUACACACCGGAGUA
rnacentral:rRNA from 1 species